UACAGAGGUCCCAAGCGUUGUUCGGAUUCAUUGGGCGCAAAGGGUGCGUAGGCGGCGCGGUAAGUCGGGUGUGAAAUCUCGGGGCUUAACUCCGAAACUGCAUUCGAUACUGCCGUGCUUGAGGACUGGAGAGGAGACUGGAAUUUACGGUGUAGCGGUGAAAUGCGUAGAUAUCGUAAGGAACACCAGUGGCGAAGGCGGCGAUCUGGGAAGAUACUGACGCUGAGGUGCGAAAGCGUGGGGAGCAAACAGG
rnacentral:rRNA from 1 species